rnacentral:tRNA from 1 species
GCUUGAUGGGUGAGCAGUUAAGGCAUUGGACUCCAAAUCCAACAGGGUUUCCCUGCAGGUUCGAAUCCUGCUCACAGCA